AAAUUAAAAAAUAAAAGUGCAUUACUUCUCACUAAGUAGAAAAUUCUAACAGCUAAUUCUUCUAUGUGCAAAUAAAACUCUCUUUCUCUGAAAGAAAGAACAAAGUUUAACCAUCAGGAAAGCGCCCCCCACCCCGGACUUUUUCUCAUUUGAAAACAAAUUAAAUUAUGAGCUUAAACAACUUUACAAAAGAUACACUGUCGCCCUACUGAGCACUGAACUGCUCCGUCAGCAUUCAUCAUAGUAAUUACUGCGAACCCAUUAUUCCUGAUUUAUGUCCUGCUUUUCCCCUUACUUAUUUGACCAAUUUGCUAAUUAACCAAUGUCCUAAUUAAUGGACAUUUGGAUUAUUUCCAGUUUUGCUCUCAGCAAAUCACUAGACCUGUUCUAGACAGAUUGUGUCCCCCAGGAUCCAUACAUUGGACCCCAACCCCCCCCAGUGAUGGCAUUUGGAGGUGGGGCCUCUGGAGGUAAUUAGGAUUAAAGCGGGGACCCCCCCGUUGGGAUUAGGGCCCUUAUAAGAAGACGAGACUGGAGCUCUGUCUCCGCCAUGUAGACACAGCAAGAAGGCGCUGGUGUCUAAGCCAGGAAGCCUUGAUCUUGGACUUCCGGCCUCCAGAACUGUGAGAAAUAAAUGUCUAUUGUUUCAGUCACCCAGUCUGUGACAUUUUGUCAUAGCAGCCCGAGCUGACAGAGACAAGAUUCCAAAGUGAGAUGAACGACUGCCAAAUAUCUGCUCGGCCCUCUCUGAGCUGGCUUCCGCCUUUGUUGAGGGAACAGCAAGUAGGGCCACGAUGACAUCACCAAGGUCAGGACUGAUGACGGGGGAGGGGAUUCACCUGCUACUCGAUCAUUCUGGGAAGGCUAGGGGCUCUCGGCUGGGGCGGGGCACACCUGCUGGUGAGGGUAGGGGACCCAAAAGGGACCUAGCAGCAGGGCAGCUUCAGAAAGGCGAGGACGGACAGGUGAGGCCGCGUGGCUGGAGCAUUGUUUUGGAUACCAGCGUAUCCGAAAAAAUUUCCUGGGCAAGUUCCUUCUUCCCAGCACCAUAUUUUAAAAAAUUCCAAACCCACAGAAAAGUUGCAAGAAUAAUGCAACGAACACUCACAUGCCCUUCAUCUAGAUUCAUCAAGCGUUAACAUUUUGCCAUCUAUGCUUUCUCUGUCUACAGACACACCCACACUUGUGUGUGUGUUUGCCUGUUUGAAUCACGAUGUGUCAUCUCGUAAUGCUUCAGUAUGCAUCUUCCUGAGAACAAGGUCAUUUUUCUCCGUAACCACAGCCCCAGCAUCCCACUCAAGAAACUGAGCUUCGACACGAUACAAUGACCUAAUAAACCAUUCUUUUGAAAAAUGUCCCCAUUGUCUCCCCAAUGUUCUUUAUAGCGCCCCACCCCGACUCUGAUCCAGAAUCCAAUCAAAGAUCAGACAUGGCAUUUGUCUGUUGUGUCUGUUUAGCGUCUCCCUUAAUACAGAGGAAUCUCCCUGCCUGUUUUGUGUUUGGUGACACUGGCCAGCUGCCCUAUAGGAAGUCUCUACUCAGUUUUUCAGUACAGCUAGGACACGAGGGCCAAGUGGAGCUCUGGCACAGAGACGGCGAUUUCGCUCUAACGCCAUUCGAAUGACCCUUGACCCUUCGCUCUUGACCACUGUUCCGGAAUCUUAAGAUAGGGCCUUACUGGAACCCACACCGCCAUGAAGUAGGAACCUGGCGAUCCUAGAACCCCAACCUACACAUCGGCACCAAGAAGCACUGUUUCUUGGCCGUAAAAAAGACCAGCUCUUGCUCUGGACCUCGCGUGUCAUAAUUCUUCACGAGGGUGGGGCACGCCCGUCUUGCUUCCUCCGCCGCCCACCCCACACUAACCCGAGAGAGAACGAAGAGAGGUUCUAAUGCUGUAACUGCCCUGUGCUCGGUUCCCCGCCCCGCCGUCCUACCCCCAUUUCUUCCGUUGCCGUUAGGUGUCCCAACUCUCCAGGACACUUCCUAGCAGGCCACAGCCCCAGCGGAAGGCUGCUUCCCGGGGCUCCAGAUCCUUCUCAGUAAUCAGCUUUGCGAGGCAGAGGCAGCAGCUGCCCCAGGCUUCCCGGGCCUCGGCCUCGCGAUUGGAUUAGAAGGGAUGCGGUUAAUGGAAGAUGAGGGGGGAGGGGAGAGGCGACUUAAGUGCUGCUCCCGAGGGCAGUGACUUCCGGCUCCCUCUCUCCUCUCCCCUGCUGCCCCUCACUCAGUGAGAGACAAGGAGGCUGGCUGAGGGCCUCACCCUCUGCUUCCCCCAAAAGCCACCAACCUGAGUUCUUUACCUCAGGGGUCCUUCCGGCCAGCUCUGCAGGCUCGGGCAGUAUGACAAUCAGAAGGCAGCACUGGGAACUGCUUUUGAAAAUGCCAGCGUCCAUUUCCAGACAAUCUCUUAGCAGCUUCUUCCAAAAGAAAGCCCACCACUGAAAGGUGGGGUAACGGUGGGUACCCGGGGUCCUUGCCCCCAGCCCCUGCUUGCCAGUUAGAGUUGAGGGGGGCGUGCCAGCUCAAAAAGGGCUGGGGAUCUGAACCCAAAAGGGAAGGGCAAGACCUCACGCCGAGUGAGGACACGGACUACAACUUGAUUCUGGAGUUGGGAGGAUUAUCUCAGAUCAGGUGUCAUAAGCGAGCACUGGCAUCAGCUGUGGGAGCACCUGAGUCUGCGCCUGCCACGUGAACCUCUGGAAGGCGUCUUGUCCUUCGAAGCACUCGCUCGCCCUCGCUUUCCCCCGGACGAGACCAAUUGUCCUGGGCUGCUAUUUACACAAUGACACUAAGUCCGUUACAUGAGAUAUCAUUUUGCAGAGAGUCCAAUGGCCUUGCAGAAAGUUCCUUCAGAAGGGCUGUAACCCAGGGGAUCAAGAUAGGGCUGAGCGCCCCUAAAGCAGCGGUCCCCAACCUCUGUGGCACCAGGCACCGGUGCUCCUGUGAGAAUCUCAUGCCCGAUGACCUGAGAUGGAGCUGAGGCACUGGGGAGCGGCUGCAAACACAGAUGAAGCUUCUUUCUCACUGGUCUGCCGAUCACCUCCUGCUGUGCGGCCUGUUCCUAACAGUGGGGUCCCCUGCACUAGAAGCUGUGGCUGGGUGGUUAAAGGCCACGGCGUAAAGUGGAGACGAAGGGCUGAGUUCGAGCAAGCAGCAGCCUGAGAACAGCCCCACACCUCUCCCCUUCCCAAGAGCCAGGAACUCCAAAAAUGUGAGCAAACCUAACCUAUCAGCACUCGUCCAAACCCUACCUGCCAUCGCCAGGGGUGAGGUUAGCAAGAACAGCUGGGCCUCGGUUCCCCGCACAGAACGCUAGUUCUCAUUAAACCAGAGUCCCUGACCCUCCUGGGACAAACACCACAGCCCUCUGCAGGCUGGUUAGAGUCCACUCUAAUGACACAAUUAGUCACCUACUUGUCAAGCAGAGUGCCUGCUCAGAGGGGGUCUGGUACACUUACUCAGCAAACAGAAAUGCCUGUGCCGGCCUGGCAGCCUCACCCUCUGCCUGGGGUCCUGCCCGGUGUAAACCACUGCAUCCGGCAAAAUUCAGAGUGGGCACUGCAGACGUGCUGACAGAGCACCAAAGUCACUUGCUCGCGGCUUCUACCGCCCCCGCCAUCCUCCCUUUCAAGAACAGGAGGAAGAACGAGGUAUUCUAAUUCGUCUUGGGACCCUCCAUGGUGGCCUGGAGGGCCCGAGGUGCUGAAAUCCUGGGACCCGCCUGGCCAGCAGGCUUCCAAUCUAAAGAGGAGCAUGGGGAAAAGUGUUUGGGGCUGGCGGGGUGAAUGCAGGCGAGCCACCAGACACAAGACAGAGGUCAGGAGAGAACUGAGGGACAACAUGGGAGCCAGCUGGGUCUGAGGGGCUCGGCGGGGCUGUGGGAGGCUUUGCUGCUUCAUUCCACAGUGGCCAGGCUUCUCUGCUACCCCAAGGGAGAUGUGCCAGAGCGCAGUGCUGCUUGAAAACAACAGUAAGAAUGGCCGCAUCGUCGGUGCCUUUUCUACCGGUCCCAUCCUAUGCGCUUCAUACACACCCACAACGUGACAUCACUGACUCUGGAAGCUGGUUUCAAAUUGGCCCCAAAAGAAAAGGUCGACAGCCGCCGUUAUUCCUCAGAGUCGCCUUAAUAUCUAUGUCCAGGUCCUGGCCUGCGAACGCCCCUUCCGGGCUGAGACCCUGCGGCCUUCAACACCGGCCGCUUUGUCAGGCGGCUGCCCCCCGCCCCCCAGACGGGUUCCUGGAAUUCAGCUCCAAUGCUUUGGGUCAGCUGCAUCUCCCGCGGACUUUCCUCUUUGCAUAAUUCUGGGGGUCCCGGAGGGUGGAACAGGGAAGGGAAGUCUCCAGUUUUUGUUUCUCCAGAUCGUCCCAGGGCCUGUUGCUGAACAGUGUAUGUUUGAGAUAAAUACGUUGUAACCAGAAACGUUAUUUGUUUACAACUCCCAAACCCCACCCUAGUCAUUUUAAAUAAAUCCUGGGCUGGCGAAGUUUGUCAGGUCCCGUGGCAAAUAAGGCUCAA